rnacentral:lncRNA from 1 species
ACUCAGCCUCUCUGGUCAGUGCUCCCUAGUCUGGGGGGAGCUGGCUGUGUAGCAGUCUGCUUAGUGAUUGGCAACAUUGUGUGCGAGGGUGUCAGCACAGCAUCUAUGAACAUUGUCUCAGGACAUGAGAUCACUCAGCAGAUGCUGGGUGAGAAAAGUUGGAGGAGCAGAGAACUUGGUGACUGCUUAGUCCAGAAGCCGAGGCACCUGCAGGCCCGUUGGAGAGUCCGU